rnacentral:rRNA from 1 species
ACACGCAUGACACACUGCAUAUCAAUAAGCGGAGGAAAAGAAACUAACAAGGAUUCCCUUAGUAACGGCGAGUGAAGCGGGAAGAGCUCAAAUUUGAAAUCUUCAAGGUUUUACCUUGACGAAUUGUAGUUUAAAGAAGUGUUUUCUGUUGAAGUUUUGGUAAAAGUUCUUUGGAAUAGGACAUCAUAGAGGGUGAGAAUCCCGUAUUUGACACGUUACUUUCCAGCUGUGUGAUACACUUUCAAAGAGUCGGAUUGUUUGGGAAUGCAGUCCAAAAUGGGUGGUAAAUUUCAUCUAAAGCUAAAUACUUGGCGAGGGACCGAUAGCGAACAAGUACCGUGAGGGAAAGAUGAAAAGAACUUUGAAAAGAGAGUUAAACAGUACGUGAAAUUGUCAAAAGGGAAGCGUUUGACACCAGUGUUGUUUUUCCGAAAAUCAAUUACGAAUGUUUUAUUUUUGAGGAGUUAUGGACUUCAUCGGCUUGCUUCUCUCUUUAUGAAACUUUCUUAAUGCACUUUUCGGUUAACAAGUCAACAUCAAUUUCUUUUGUUGUAAAAGGGUAUGAGGAAGGUGGCUUUCUUUUCGGAGAAAGUGUUUAUAGCCUUGUGCCUCUGCAAUCGGAGAGAUUGAGGUCUGCAGCGUAGAUCCUUCGGGGUUAGAUACAUUUGUGCUAAGUUAUAGCUUUUCAUAGACAACUUGUUGACUAUGUUAAGUCUUGUAAUUUACUCGCAGAUGCUAUUUUACCUACGCUUAGGAUGUUGACUGAUAUGUAGUCGUA